rnacentral:misc_RNA from 1 species
AAGUCGUAACAAGGUUUCCGUAGGUGAACCUGCGGAAGGAUCAUUAACGAGUUAGGGUCUUCUCAGGCCCGACCUCCCAACCCUUUGUUUACUGAACCUCUGUUGCUUCGGCGGGCCCGUCUCACGACCGCCGGAGGACCGCCGACAGGUGUCCUCUGGCCCGUGUCCGCCGACAGCCAAGCUCUCAAAACUCUGUAUGAAUCGUGUCCUUUAUCUCUAAGUCUAUGAUUUAAACAAAUCAAAAAGCAAAACUUUCAACAACGGAUCUCUUGGUUCUG